rnacentral:lncRNA from 1 species
CUGAAAAGAGAGCUUAUUGUACCUCAUGCACAGCAGCAGGUUUAACAGAAAAGUAGACAUGUUUAUAGUCCCAGAUUUACAGCACACCUUAUAAACACCUUAUUACAUAGAAUCCAGUCUGCUGUCCCAGAAACUAAGAAUGUGACUUUGUUAAGCAGUAGGAUUUGUUGACAUAAAUGUCUUGACUAAGUUUGCCAUUGUGGUUAACCAAAACGCAUUUACUCCUGGGAAAGUAAACACAAGCAAACAAAAUGCCUCUUAUACUACAAUACAGUUGCAAAGUCCAAGAUCAAGGGACUGGAAUCUUAUGAGGGCCUUCUGCCGUGAGGGUCACAUCACAGAAGGGCAAGAGAAGACAAGAGAGAAUGCAAGAGGAGGACAAACGCAUCCUUUUAUGAUGGCACUAAUUCCACUUAUGAGGGUGUAGCCCUAAUGGCCUCAUCACCUCUUAAAGGACCUACUUCUUAUUUCUGUUACACUGACAAAUUGCAACAUGAGUUUUGGAGAGGACAAACAUUCAAACCAUAGAAUUACGCUCCUGCCCACCCCCACCUAAACUCAUGUCCUCACACACAAAAUACAUUCGUUGCUUCCCAAUA